GCUCAACUGGCGGAGAUUAGGAAGGUCACUUUGUCUCGUGUCCUGUGUGACAACACCAAUACCUUCCAUGUCCAGAGAGAUGCAUUCAGAGUCCAGUCCCAAGCGAAUCCCAGCGUUCCAUGUUACAGCAUCCCUCGCCUUGACCUGACCAUGUGGACAGAACAACAGCCACGCUGGUCAAACUGGUCGGCCCCGUCACUCUGUAGAAGCGGAAGUAAAUUCCAGUUCCGGAGGAGGGUGUGCAUGCCGAAAAACGGAGGGUGUGUCGGACCGCGGGAAGUGUGGAGGUUCUGUCCGACACAUGGCUAGCGGGACCGGAUAGUCUUGAAUAAUUAUCGCCUGGGUUGUGUUUUUGUUGAGUAAUAAAAACAUUGUACAAGUA